rnacentral:tRNA from 1 species
GGGGCCUUAGCUCAGUUGGCAGAGCGCCUGCUUUGCAAGCAGGAUGUCAGGAGUUCGAAUCUCCUAGGCUCCAC